AAGCAACGCGAAGAACUUACCAGGCCUUGACAUGCAGAGAACUUUCCUAGAGAUGGAUUGUGCCUUCGGGAACUCUGACACAGGUGCUGCAUGGCUGUCGUCAGCUCGUGUCGUCGAGAUGUUGGGUUAAGUCCCGUAACGAGCGCAACCCUUGUCCUUAGUUACCAGCACGUUAUGGUGGGCACUCUAAGGAGACUGCCGGUGACAACCGGAGGAAGGUGGGGAUGACGUCAAGUCAUCAUGGCCCUUACGGCCUGGGCUACACACGUGCUACAAUGGUCGGUACAAAGGGUUGCCAAGCCGCGAGGUGGAGCUAAUCCCAUAAAACCGAUCGUAGUCCGGAUCGCAGUCUGCAACUCGACUGCGUGAAGUCGGAAUCGCUAGUAAUCGUGAAUCAGAAUGUCACGGUGAAUACGUUCCCGGGCCUU
rnacentral:rRNA from 1 species